rnacentral:misc_RNA from 1 species
AAAAUGCAAUAGUUAAUAUAAAUUACAAAAUUCAGUAAAUUAUCGAGUCUUUAAACGCAUAUUGCGCCCAUUAGUAUUCCUUUGGGUAUAUCUAUUUGAGCGUCAUUAUAACUCUUAGUUAACCACUAUUUUUAAACUUGAACGGGUGAUAUUGUACUGGUUUUAAAGUUGUAAGUUCUGCUGGCUGCUCUGCCUAAUUAGAAUAUAGUAAGUACUACUUAUCCGGGUGAAGCUGAAUGGUACGGCCUGAACAAAACCUACUCAUUUUUAAGGUUUAACCUCAGAUCAGAUAAGGAUAUUUGCUAAACUUAAGC